CCUACGGGGUGCAGCAGUGGGGAAUAUUGCACAAUGGGGGAAACCCUGAUGCAGCGACGCCGCGUGAGUGAAGAAGUAUCUCGGUACGUAAAGCUCUAUCAGCAGGGAAGAAAAUGACGGUACCUGACUAAGAAGCCCCGGCUAACUACGUGCCAGCAGCCGCGGUAAUACGUAGGGGGCAAGCGUUAUCCGGAUUUACUGGGGGUAAAGGGAGCGUAGACGGCAGCACAAGUCUGGAGUGAAAUCCCGGGGCUUAACCCCGGCACUGCUUUGGAAACUGGGCGGCUGGAGUGCAGGAGGGGUAAGCGGAAUUCCUAGUGUAGCGGUGAAAUGCGUAGAUAUUAGGAGGAACACCGGUGGCGAAGGCUGCUUACUGGACUGUAACUGACGUUGAGGCUCGAAAGCGUGGGGAGCAAACAGGAUUAGAUACCCGUGUAGUC
rnacentral:rRNA from 1 species